CCUACGGGGGGCUGCAGUGGGGAAUAUUGGACAAUGGGGGCAACCCUGAUCCAGCCAUGCCGCGUGUGUGAAGAAGGCCCUCGGGUUGUAAAGCACUUUCAGUGAGGAAGAACGCCUGGUGGUUAAUACCCAUCAGGAAAGACAUCACUCACAGAAGAAGCACCGGCUAACUCCGUGACAGCAGCCGCGGUAAUACGGAGGGUGCGAGCGUUAAUCGGAAUUACUGGGCGUAAAGCGCGCGUAGGUGGCUUGAUAAGCCGGUUGUGAAAGCCCCGGGCUCAACCUGGGAACGGCAUCCGGAACUGUCAAGCUAGAGUGCAGGAGAGGAAGGUAGAAUUCCCAGUGUAGCGGUGAAAUGCGUAGAGAUCGGGAGGAAUACCAGUGGCGAAGGCGGCCUUCUGGACUGACACUGACACUGAGGUGCGAAAGCGUGGGUAGCAAACAGGAUUAGAUACCCCGGUAGUC
rnacentral:rRNA from 1 species